CCUACGGGGGGCAGCAGUGAGGAAUAUUGGUCAAUGGGCGCAAGCCUGAACCAGCCAAGUCGCGUGAGGGAUGACGGUCCUAUGGAUUGUAAACCUCUUUUGUCGGGGAGCAAGGCCCGCCACGUGUGGCGGGAAGGAGAGUACCCGAAGAAAAAGCAUCGGCUAACUCCGUGCCAGCAGCCGCGGUAAUACGGAGGAUGCGAGCGUUAUCCGGAUUUAUUGGGUUUAAAGGGUGCGUAGGCGGAAGGUUAAGUCAGCGGUCAAAUGUCGGUGCUCAACACCGGCCUGCCGUUGAAACUGGUCGUCUUGAGUGAGCGAGAAGUAGGCGGAAUGCGUGGUGUAGCGGUGAAAUGCAUAGAUAUCACGCAGAACUCCGAUUGCGAAGGCAGCAUACCGGCGCUCAACUGACGCUGAGGCACGAAAGCGUGGGGAUCGAACAGGAUUAGAUACCCUUGUAGUC
rnacentral:rRNA from 1 species